UACGUAGGGUGCGAGCGUUAAUCGGAAUUACUGGGCGUAAAGCGUGCGCAGGCGGUUUUGUAAGCCAGAUGUGAAAGCCCCGGGCUUAACCUGGGAAUGGCAUUUGGGACUGCAAGGCUUGAGUGCGGCAGAGGAGACUGGAAUUCCUGGUGUAGCGGUGAAAUGCGCAGAUAUCAGGAGGAACACCGGUGGCGAAGGCGGGACUCUGGGCCGUAACUGACGCUGAGGAGCGAAAGCAUGGGGAGCGAACAGG
rnacentral:rRNA from 1 species